GGUCGUGUAGCUCAGCUGGGAGAGCACCUGCCUUACAAGCAGGGGGUCAUAGGUUCGAGUCCUAUCGCGACCA
rnacentral:tRNA from 2 species